rnacentral:rRNA from 1 species
UACAGAGGCCCCAAGCGUUACUGAGAAUCACUGGGUUUAAAGGGUGCGUAGGUGGCGCGUUAAGUCCGUUGUGAAAUCCCUUGGCUCAACCAAGGAAUGGCUUCGGAUACUGGCGUGCUUGAGGCUGGUAAGGGUCACUGGAACUGACGGUGGAGCGGUGAAAUGCGUAGAUAUCGUCAGGAACGCCAAUGGUGAAGACAGGCGACUGGGCCAGUUCUGACACUGAGGCACGAAAGCGUGGGGAGCAAACAGG